AGCUUCUGUGACUUGUCCAAGACCAUGCAGUUAGUGCACAGUGAGGCACAGAAUCAGUUGUAGAAGCACUUCAGGGAAUUCGGAUACUAUUUUGUGGCCUGGCAAGAUUAGCAGCCUUACUAUCUUAGUCCCUGCCAGUCAUCAGCUUCUGGUUUCCCUGUUAUCCUGCUGCUCCCUAGAAUGCAGCUAUUAAGUGGCCUAAGAGCCAGCACCUUCACGGAGUAGCAAAGGAAUGGGACAGAAGACUCCAGCUACAAUGGGAAUCAAUCAGUGUCUAUGUUGUACAGCCUGUUCCAGCAGUCACAGUUGCCUAAAGGCCUAGCUAUCAGAAUAAGGUUCAGCCUAUGGAAAUUCCCAAUGCUUGAACUAACAGCAAUAGUGAUCUAUAUAGUCUGAAGGAGGCUGAUGCUUGUGUUGGAGGCCUUCUGAGCAUCUUCCAUAUCCAUCUGGCCUUGUAAACACUUUUUUCCUCUGCUGUACACAAGGAAUGAACCAUAAAAGCAGAAACUCCA
ensembl:lincRNA